GCAUAUCAAUAAGCGGAGGAAAAAGAAACUAACAAGGAUUCCCCUAGUAACUGCGAGUGAAGCGGGAAAAGCUCAAAUUUAAAAUCUGGCGGUCUUUGGCCGUCCGAGUUGUAAUCUAGAGAAGUAAUGCCCGUGCUGGACCGUGUAUAAGUCUCCUGGGAUGGGGCGUCAUAGAGGGUGAGAAUCCCGUCUUUGACACGGACUACCAGUGCAUUGUGGUAUGCUCUCAAAGAGUCGAGUUGUUUGGGAAUGCAGCUCAAAAUGGGUGGUAAAUUCCAUCUAAAGCUAAAUAUUGGCGAGAGACCGAUAGCGAACAAGUACCGUGAGGGAAAGAUGAAAAGAACUUUGGAAAGAGAGUUAAACAGUACGUGAAAUUGCUGAAAGGGAAACGCUUGAAGUCAGUCGCGUUGGCCAGGGAUCAGCCUUGCUUUUGCAUGGUGUACUUUCUGGUUGACGGGUCAGCAUCAAUUUUGACCGCUGGAAAAGGGCCUGGGGAAUGUGGCAGCUUCGGCUGUGUUAUAGCCCCUGGUCGCAUACAGUGGUUGGGAUUGAGGAACUCAGCACGCCGCAAGGCCGGGUUUCGACCACGUUCGUGCUUAGGAUGCUGGCAUAAUGGCUUUAAGCGACCCGUCUUGAAACACGGACCAAGGAGUCUAACAUGCCUGCGAGUAUUUGGGUGGAAAACCCGAGUGCGCAAUGAAAGUGAAAGUUGAGAUCCCUGUCGUGGGGAGCAUCGACGCCCGGACCAGAACUUUUGGGACGGAUCCGCGGUGGAGCAUGUAUGUUGGGACCCGAAAGAUGGUGAACUAUGCCUGAAUAGGGUGAAGCCAGAGGAAACUCUGGUGGAGGCUCGUAGCGAUUCUGACGUGCAAAUCGAUCGUCAAAUUUGGGUAUAGGGGCGAAAGACUAAUCGAAUCAUCUAGUAGCUGGGUUCCUGCCG
rnacentral:rRNA from 1 species